rnacentral:tRNA from 1 species
GCCUGGGUGGCUGAGUCGGUUCGGCAUCCGACUUCAGCUCAGGUCAUGAUCUUACAGCUCGUGGGUUCAAGCCCCAUGUCAGGCU